GACGAACGCUGGCGGCGUGCCUAAUACAUGCAAGUCGAGCGCAGGAAAUCGACGGAACCCUUCGGGGGGAAGUCGACGUAAUGAGCGGCGGACGGGUGAGUAACACGUAAAGAACCUGCCCUCAGGUCUGGGAUAACCACGAGAAAUCGGGGCUAAUACCGGAUGGGUCAUCGGACCGCAUGGUCCGAGGAUGAAAGGCGCUUCGGCGUCGCCUGGGGAUGGCUUUGCGGUGCAUUAGCUAGUUGGUGGGGUAAUGGCCCACCAAGGCGACGAUGCAUAGCCGACCUGAGAGGGUGAUCGGCCACACUGGGACUGAGACACGGCCCAGACUCCGACGGGAGGCAGCAGUAGGGAAUCUUCCACAAUGGACGAAAGUCUGAUGGAGCAACGCCGCGUGAACGAUGAAGGCCUUCGGGUCGUAAAGUUCUGUUGUAAGGGAAGAACAAGUGCCGCAGGCAAUGGCGGCACCUUGACGGUACCUUGCGAGAAAGCCACGGCUAACUACGUGCCAGCAGCCGCGGUAA
rnacentral:rRNA from 1 species